rfam:Caldibacillus debilis strain B4135 NODE_184, whole genome shotgun sequence.
CCCGUGCUGCAACCGCGCAUGGAAGGUUUUUAAGUUUUGCUUUCGGCAAAACACCUUCCGUGGCGAGUCUGAGUCUGAGG